rfam:Ornithorhynchus anatinus chromosome 4, whole genome shotgun sequence.
CCCCUUUAAGGGUCGCAUUUGGAGAGUAUCCAGUGCUCUAUCAGUCUCGGCUAAGGGAGGGAGAGUAAAGCAGAGGUCUAUCCAUUCCAUUCCUAGCUUGGCCAGUGGCUAGUGAGUGAAGACAAUCUGCUGCAAGU